UACGGAGGGUGCAAGCGUUAUCCGGAUUCACUGGGUUUAAAGGGUGCGUAGGUGGGCAGGUAAGUCAGUGGUGAAAUCUCCGGGCUUAACCCGGAAACUGCCGUUGAUACUAUCCGGCUCGAGGAAUGGAGGGGAGACUGGAAUACUUGGUGUAGCAGUGAAAUGCGUAGAUAUCAAGUGGAACACCAGUGGCGAAGGCGAGUCUCUGGACAUUUCCUGACGCUGAGGCACGAAAGCCAGGGGAGCAAACGGG
rnacentral:rRNA from 1 species